ACGGGUGAGUAAUGCCUAGGAAUCUGCCUGGUAGUGGGGGAUAACGCUCGGAAACGGACGCUAAUACCGCAUACGUCCUACGGGAGAAAGCAGGGGACCUUCGGGCCUUGCGCUAUCAGAUGAGCCUAGGUCGGAUUAGCUAGUUGGUGAGGUAAUGGCUCACCAAGGCGACGAUCCGUAACUGGUCUGAGAGGAUGAUCAGUCACACUGGAACUGAGACACGGUCCAGACUCCUACGGGAGGCAGCAGUGGGGAAUAUUGGACAAUGGGCGAAAGCCUGAUCCAGCCAUGCCGCGUGUGUGAAGAAGGUCUUCGGAUUGUAAAGCACUUUAAGUUGGGAGGAAGGGCAGUUACCUAAUACGUGAUUGUUUUGACGUUACCGACAGAAUAAGCACCGGCUAACUCUGUGCCAGCAGCCGCGGUAAUACAGAGGGUGCAAGCGUUAAUCGGAAUUACUGGGCGUAAAGCGCGCGUAGGUGGUUUGUUAAGUUGAAUGUGAAAUCCCCGGGCUCAACCUGGGAACUGCAUCCAAAACUGGCAAGCUAGAGUAUGGUAGAGGGGUGGUGGAAUUUCCUGUGUAGCGGUG
rnacentral:rRNA from 1 species